ACGGAAGGCAGCAGUGGGGAAUAUUGCACAAUGGGGGAAACCCUGAUGCAGCGACGCCGCGUGAGCGAAGAAGUAUUUCGGUAUGUAAAGCUCUAUCAGCAGGGAAGAAAAUGACGGUACCUGACUAAGAAGCCCCGGCUAACUACGUGCCAGCAGCCGCGGUAAUACGUAGGGGGCAAGCGUUAUCCGGAUUUACUGGGUGUAAAGGGAGCGUAGACGGCAAGGUAAGUCUGAAGUGAAAUGCCGGGGCUCAACCCCGGAACUGCUUUGGAAACUAUCUCGCUCGAGUACUGGAGGGGUAAGCGGAAUUCCUAGUGUAGCGGUGAAAUGCGUAGAUAUUAGGAGGAACACCAGUGGCGAAGGCGGCUUACUGGACGGUAACUGACGUUGAGGCUCGAAAGCGUGGGGAGCAAACAGGAUUAGAUACCCUGGUA
rnacentral:rRNA from 2 species